rnacentral:rRNA from 1 species
CCUACGGGGGGCUGCAGUGGGGAAUAUUGGACAAUGGGGGGAACCCUGAUCCAGCCAUGCCGCGUGUGUGAAGAAGGCCCUCGGGUUGUAAAGCACUUUCAGUGAGGAAGAACGCCUGUUGGUUAAUACCCAUCAGGAAAGACAUCACUCACAGAAGAAGCACCGGCUAACUCCGUGCCAGCAGCCGCGGUAAUACGGAGGGUGCGAGCGUUAAUCGGAAUUACUGGGCGUAAAGCGCGCGUAGGUGGCUUGAUAAGCCGGUUGUGAAAGCCCCGGGCUCAACCUGGGAACGGCAUCCGGAACUGUCAAGCUAGAGUGCAGGAGAGGACGGUAGAACACCCGGUGUAGCGGUGAAGUGCGUAGAGAUCGGGAGGAAUACAAGUGGCGAAGGCGGCCUUCUGGACUGACACUGACACUGAGGUGCGAAAGCGUGGGUAGCAAACAGGAUUAGAUACCCCUGUAGUC